ensembl:snRNA
GUAUUGUAUGAAAGGAAAGAAGGUUAACAUUCCCCUUGACAAGAG